rnacentral:lncRNA from 1 species
UGCUAUUGAAUUAUUUAGAAACCAAAUUUCAUAGUUUUUUGACUUUAUUUGUCUAUUGAACGAGUAGGCUCAAAAUGAAUGACUGAAAAUAAAAAUCUCAAAAAAAAAUAGUGAUAAAAGACUCAAAUUUCAAAUCGGAAGUAUUGCUAUUACUCUUGAUAUUCUGUAGAAUUUUGUAUUAAAGUUUCAUGUAAUUUCGAUUCUUCUACACCGUUGAACUUUCGAACGUGCCACAUUGGCUGUUAAAAUAGUUAUUUUUGAGACUCUUUGAUCACUUGGUAAAUGAUGUCGAAAAAUUAUGAAAUCUGAUUUCUAAAUAGUUCUAAUAGUGUAGAUCAUGCCUAACGGAGCCGAUCGCUGAAUCAAAUUAAUGCACCAUUAUAAAAAAUAACUUACAAGCACGGAGGUCACUAUACUUUCGAAAGUAUAGAAGACGUAUUCUAUAUAUAAAUAUAUA